GUAUUGUAUUGCGUUAAACGCGAUGCACAUUCCAUCGGACUUCGUUACGGUGUGUGUGUAAAGACGUAGGACCACGGCAAGGGAACGGAGCCCCCAAGGCCACAGAACUACAGAGGGUGCACAGGUGUGAGUGGAUGUGUGAACAGAGCGUGCACAUGCCCUCGUUUGAGGACCAGCAACAACCCAUGUCGACGACUCGGUAAUGAUCCUUCCGCAGGUUCACCUACGGAAA
rnacentral:misc_RNA from 1 species